rnacentral:rRNA from 1 species
AUACGUAGGGAGCGAGCGUUGUCCGGAAUUACUGGGUGUAAAGGGCGUGUAGGCGGGCUGUCAAGUCAGAUGUGAAAUUCCCGGGCUUAACCCGGGCGCUGCAUCUGAAACUGUUUUCUUGAGUACUGGAGAGGAAAGUGGAAUUCCCAGUGUAGCGGUGAAAUGCGUAGAGAUUGGGAGGAACACCAGUGGCGAAGGCGGCUUUCUGGACAGUAACUGACGCUGAGGCGCGAAAGCGUGGGGAGC